GAUGAACGCUGGCGGCGUGCUUAAUACAUGCAAGUCGAGCGGACGGACGAGAAGCUUGUUUCUCUGAUGUUAGCGGCGGACGGGUGAGUAACACGUGGAUCCCCCCCCUAUAAGACUGGGAUCACCUCGGAAAACCGGAGCUAAUACCGGAUAAUAUCCUGAUCCGUAGGGUUGAAUAGAGAAAGACGGCCUUGCUGUCUCUUCUAGAUGGUUCCGGGCUGCAUUAGGUAGUUGGUAAGGUAACGGCUUACCAAGGCAACGGUGCAUAGCCGACCUGAGAGGGGGUAGGGCCACUGAGGAGCUGAGAGGCGGCCCUGACACUGACGGGAGGCAGAAGCAGCUACGCUAGCGAGCAGGGCGAAAGCCUGACGGAGCAACGGCGCGUUAGUGAAGAAGGUCUUCGGAUGGUAUAACGCUGUUCGUAGGGAAGACAGCUUUGUAAGUAACUGUGGACAGCUUGACGGUACCUAAUCAGAAAGCCACGGCUAACUACGUG
rnacentral:rRNA from 1 species